AAAGGGUGCGUAGGCGGGUAGGUAAGUCAGUGGUGAAAUCCUGGAGCUCAACUCCAGAACUGCCAUUGAUACUAUCUAUCUUGAAUAUUGUGGAGGUAAGCGGAAUAUGUCAUGUAGCGGUGAAAUGCUUAGAUAUGACAUAGAACACCGAUUGCGAAGGCAGCUUGCUAAACAAUUAUUGACGCUGAGGCACGAAAGCGUGGGGAUCAAACAGGAUUAGAUACCCUAGU
rnacentral:rRNA from 1 species